rnacentral:tRNA from 1 species
GACCUCGUGGCACAAGGGCAGCGCGUCUGACUCCAGAUCAGAAGGUUGUGUGUUCAAAUCACACCGGGGUCA